UACGUAGGGUGCGAGCGUUGUCCGGAAUUAUUGGGCGUAAAGAGCUUGUAGGCGGUUUGUCGCGUCUGCUGUGAAAAUCCGGGGCUCAACCCCGGACUUGCAGUGGGUACGGGCAGACUGGAGUGUGGUAGGGGAGACUGGAAUUCCUGGUGUAGCGGUGGAAUGCGCAGAUAUCAGGAGGAACACCGGUGACGAAGGCGGGUCUCUGGGCAACAACUGACGCUGAGGAGCGAAAGCGUGGGGAGCGAACAGG
rnacentral:rRNA from 1 species